GAGGGCAUAGCUCAAAGUGGUAGAGUGUAUGCUUAGCAUGCUAUAAGGUCCUGGGUUCAAUCCCCAGUACCUCCU
rnacentral:tRNA from 1 species